GAUGAACGCUGGCGGCGUGCCUAAUACAUGCAAGUCGAGCGAACGGACGAGAAGCUUGCUUCUCUGAUGUUAGCGGCGGACGGGUGAGUAACACGUGGAUAACCUACCUAUAAGACUGGGAUAACUUCGGGAAACCGUAGCUAAUACCGGAUAAUAUUUUGAACCGCAUGGUUCAAAAGUGAAAGACGGUCUUGCUGUCACUUAUAGAUGGAUCCGCGCUGCAUUAGCUAGUUGGUAAGGUAACGGCUUACCAAGGCAACGAUGCAUAGCCGACCUGAGAGGGUGAUCGGCCACACUGGAACUGAGACACGGUCCCGACUCCUACGGGAGGCAGCAGUAGGGAAUCUUCCGCAAUGGGCGAAAGCCUGACGGAGCAACGCCGCGUGAGUGAUGAAGGUCUUCGGAGCGUACAAAGCUGUUAUUCGGGAAGAACAUAUGUGUAAGUAACUGUGCACAUCUUGACGGUACCUAAUCAGAAAGCCACGGCUAACUACGUG
rnacentral:rRNA from 1 species